rnacentral:tmRNA from 1 species
GGGGCCGAUCGGCUUCGACGUGGGGUGGAACGUUUGUCUGCGUGCUGGCGGCGCCUGCUCCGCCUCAUCAAGCGGGUCGUUUUAUUUGCGAACGAUAACGCACAACUCCUCGCUGCUUGACAGCGGGUGCCCGAGAGGGAGGUCGUCCUAGUACCUCGAGGGUGUCAACCACAGGACUGGAUCGCGUGAGCAAGGUAUCCGAUAGCGCGAUCGAGAUAAGAGGAUGCUAGGUCGUGGCCGAACCCACGAACCCCGUCGCGAGGGCUAGAGCGACUACGCACGUGAACGAAGGCAGACCGGAAGCCUUGCGGACCCGGGUUCGAUUCCCGGCGGCUCCACUG